GCUGGGCGUGGUGGUGCGUGCCUGUAAUCCCAGCUACUCGGGAGGCUGAGGCAGGAGAAUUGCUUGAACCCAGGAGGCAGAGGUUACAGUGAGCCGAGAUUGCACCACUGCAUUCUGCCUGGGCAACAGAGCAAGACUCUGUCUCAG
rfam:Pan troglodytes isolate Yerkes chimp pedigree #C0471 (Clint) chromosome 11, whole genome shotgun sequence.